GUUGCGUCAUGGGGUCGAUUUAAUCACGACUCUUGAUUGACAAUAUACUCGAUGCCGAAGGCAUUGUGACCCAACAAGUGGGGAGUUCGAUUUGUUUUGGACAAAUUGAAUGAUCUGCGGUGGCAUCGACAAAUGACGUGGUGUGGAGGCAACUUAAGCCAUACCUGGAUGUUGUUGCUACUUUGUGAUGUUGCAUGACGGUGUUUCUUGGAUGCGUUGUUGGUGAUGACAUUCGUCUUGAGGUGGUGCGGUGUCAUGUUUCCUGUGUAUCCUAGUUUUGAGCUAUUGAGCUUAGAACAUGUGGAUUAUCGGUUGGCAACACGACGUCGCUCCCUUGGUUGAUGAAAGUCAUCCAAUGAUGCGGUGGUUUGUUUGUUUUGUUCUCGCAUCGCUCGGUGCAUUCUGUGGUCAUUUUGGUUAUUGGCAGCUUGCUUGGCAAUUGAGCUUGGUGGGUUGCUACUGGCUGGGUGUCUUCGGGGAUGUCUACCGUAAAGGUGCAUGAGUGGUGUUUGGUAUGUUACAGGUGGUUGGCUCUUUGCUUGCGCAACAACUUCUACCCGGCAUACCUUUUCAGUCUUGUGUCAAUGCUUGUAUUGCAUUGAAUGCCGAGCGGAUUUCUUGUGUUGCAUGCCUAAUCUAUGGUAUCGCUUGAUGUAUUUGUUUUCCUUUCGUCUUGUGUCGCCUAUGCGAUGCGGGAUGAACCUUAAAGCAGCAUUUGUGAUCCACUCUUUUGAUGCAUGCGCAUUGAUUUUGUGGCCCAUUGAGUGUUGCUCGGUCUCAUGGAUAUGGCACCUGGUGUGGGCAUGGUAUCUUAAUGGUUCCCUGUUUGCUCAAGUUUAGCUUUUCUAAAACGAUUGUCU
rnacentral:misc_RNA from 1 species